UUGCUCUGUCCAAAAMUUGCAUCGUGGGCAUUAAAUUAGUGUGGCUGAUAAAGGUCACGUCAUGAGAUAUAUUUGCCGAUUUUGAUGCUUUGACAAUGCCACAUUUUAAAAUUUGUCGUACAGCAUACUCCGCUGCUCUCGCAUCAGUUGCGUCAUUACAGCCUCCUUUUAAUCGUACAUGAGAAAACAUUCCCUCAAGAGCAUCACUGCUGAAGGAUCUUGUAAGUACAUAAUAAAAUCCAACCUGGUCUAAAAGAAAUUUAAUUGACAAAUAUGUACUUUGGGCUGUGAAUUUUAUAGCAUGAGCGGUUUCCUUUGAUAGCCCCUUUAAGCAAGCCUCAGAAGAACACUUUUGGAUGUCAUCAAUGUAUUCAGGGAGAACAUUAUUUAGCCAAUGUAAACGCUGAUCUGAUAUUGUAAAGGGAAACAAUUUAGAGAAGCUUCUUGGUCAGUACCACCGAGAUUAACAGGAUUCUUAAAAUUGCAAAAGUGUUAAGGAAGGAUAAUAUGAAACAGGACAAUUAUCUUACAGGCCCGCAAAUUUGAUGCCCAUGGAAAGGCCGUAUACGCUAGUAUGAAUGGAGUCGGCGAUGACUGGACAAGAGUGCUUAACUAGCGUAAUAAUAGAGGGCUCUCCAGUGACAAACAAAAAAUUUAAUUCCAGUUUUUUUAUUUUAAAAAUACGAAUUUAUUUACCUGCCCAAACUUUUUAUUUUAUAUAAACGGUGGGUCAGUGGUGUACCCACUUUUUGAGAGUUAAUUGUCAAAAAUACAUAUUUCACUUGAGUGCAAAAAAACGCAAAUUGUCAAAUUUUUUAGAGAUUAACAUAGUGUGAAAAAGGUUGUUCCCAAAAAGGUUAGAAAACUAUCAAAACAAAUGUCUUAUUUGGUGCAAUGUCAUAGUCAGUGUUAAAAACGAAAUGAAGAAACAUGGAAGAACUUGAUAGAAGUUUGAAAGAUGCCUGACAAUUAUAAUAUUGUAAAUUGUGACAAAGACAACGUCAAAAAACUGGCAUUUAUUAACAGGCCAAAUUACAUUAUAAAAAAAUCAAUUUGCGUUUUUUUCUUUGCACUCAAAUGUACCUUCAUAAUUUAUUGAUUUAAAUAGUGUUGUGUAUUUCAAAAUCACUCUGUAGUAUUUCCUAUUGUAUAG